rnacentral:ncRNA from 21 species
GCAUAACCUUCGCAUCGUGGUUCUGCCGGUCUUUCGAGACCGGAAGCUAAGAGGGAAUCCGGUGAGCGGAGACGAUCCGCGAUCCCGGAGCUGCCCCCGCAACUGUCAGCGGCGAGCCUUGUCCAUGAAUGCCACUGCGGCGCAAGCCUCGGGAAGGCGGACGCAAGGCUUUGACCCGUGAGCCAGGAGACCUGCCGCGAUCACAUAACGUCCA